AAUGACACUGGGCUUGGUGGUUGGUACUCGAGAUCCCAAGUUCGAAACUUAGUUGCUUCAUAUUUUUAGUUAAGUUUAAUUCUAAAAAAAAUAAAUAAAGUAUAUAGCAUUCUACCUUUUCUUUCAAAAAAAAAUAUUUGAUCUUUUGAUCUAUAAUAUCUGAAGUAUCAUCAUAUUUUAAGUAGACUCUCUAUCAUUGAAAAAGUAAAAAAAAUAUUAUUUUUAUUCUUUUUCAAUUAAUGACCAUAUGAGAAUCACAAAAUAUAAAGAAGUUCCUAACACUUAGGACAACAACAAUAAUAAUGAAAGACAAAUUUAUGAACCCCACCUCCAACAAUGGCGGUGAUGACAGAUAUAAACAAAAGCUAAGCUUUUUUUGUUUUGCUCUGCUGCAGCAAUACGAUUUUGAAAAAAAAGAGCUCAAUAAUCUCUCUACUUUAUAUAGUAUUCAUGUUAGUCAUCUCAAUUGAAAUUUGUAAUCCUUAAUUUUAUUAACGAAGGGACUUGGUUAAGAUAAAUUGAUAAAAAAAAAAAGUUAUGUAAAUUAAAAGAAUAAGGAGAUAUAUAGUUCAUAAUUGAAAUAGAAAUAAAAUAUAAAAUUGGAUUGCAUUGAAAUAAAAAUAAAAAAUAAAAUAACAAAUUAUAUAAAAAAUUUGAUUCAUUAUUAAAAUAAAAAUCGGACGGGAUAUUUCAGUUGAUUUAUGAAGGUAUUUGUGAGAGUAAUAUAUUUAGACGAGCCAAUCUAAGACUUACAGCCGAAUUGAGCCAUAAAUGAUCUGCAAAUCGAAAUUCGAUUUCUAUAAAACGAACAAUAACUAUCAGAAAUCAGU
rnacentral:lncRNA from 1 species